GGGGGUGAGUAAGCAUCCUAAACAGAGAUGCAAUGAUGGGAUUAAAGGGAGUAUUUCUAACUCUCUUUGAAGAACUAGAGGAGAGUGAGAGGUUUCGGAGAGGGAAAAGUGGGAAAUCGGAAAAAGGGAGCUGAGAGGGUGCUGGUGUAUUCUUCGAUUGGUACAAAAGGUAUGGGAGUGACUCCGGACACUUUGGAGGCUUAGAGAGGUACUCUAGUUAGCUGGACUUAAGGUACCAGUAUGGAGGAACUUGAUAAUGAUCUGUCUCUAAAUGGAUAGCCAUAUCAUGUGUGUGAGCUUGUUUCCUAGUUGUACUUAGAAUAAAGUGUUUUAGUAUCUUAAGAGUAUGUUGUAAGUGUUGAACUCUUUAAACUCUUAAUGUAUUAAAUAAACAGGUUCAAGUGAACUUUUAGAUGGCUCUGGUUCCAUCAUA